rnacentral:rRNA from 1 species
CAGCCGCCACGGUAAUACGUAGGUGGCAAGCGUUGUCCGGAAUUAUUGGGCGUAAAGGGCUCGCAGGCGGUUUCUUAAGUCUGAUGUGAAAGCCCCCGGCUCAACCGGGGAGGGUCAUUGGAAACUGGGAAACUUGAGUGCAGGAGAGGAGAGUGGAAUUCCACGUAUAGCGGUGAAAUGCGUAGAGAUGUGGAGGAACACCAGUGGCGAAGGCGACUCUCUGGUCUGUAACUGACGCUGAGGAGCGAAAGCGUGGGGAGCGAACAGGAUUAGAUACCCCUGUAGUCCCUGUCUCUUAUAC